AUGUCACGAAUAUGUCUUUGAUCUUAUCAAUUAUAUUUUUUAUCUAAUUUAAUUAGAUUUGAUGCAUCACAUACAUCAUAUCAAAUCUAAAACACAUCUUAUACUAAUUAUAAAAUAUCAAUUUCAGAUUUGAUAUCAUAUAGAAAAUUAAUUAGAUACAAACAUGAAUGCAUAAGGAAUAAAUUUUUAAUAAAAUCUAUUUUGGUGUAGUGCUGAUUCUUGAUAGAAUUUAGAUCUAAAUAUCCAUCAAAAUGAAUCCAAUU
rnacentral:lncRNA from 1 species